rnacentral:misc_RNA from 1 species
CGGAGCAGUUUCCGGUUGCCGCUCGCCGACAUCACGCACACGCAAACGAGAAUUUACAGCUAACUUCACUUCAUAAAUGUUCGAUCUUUUACAACUACGUCGAGGCUUGUACUUUUUGGGAUUACGCUUUUCGACAUGGCUUUGAGCGUUGCUCUACCUCUAGCGGGCUUGGAGACAGAUAACUUCAACUCGUUCAGCUCGUUCGGGCAUAUCAUAGACAUAGCGGGGCUUUCGCAGUCUCAGUCGAGCCCGAGUCCGUCUGUCUCCAGUGAAUCUAGCGGUAUCGGCUCGCUGGGUUCGCUCAAGUCGGAGUCAGUCAACAGUGACUCCCUCCCGUCUAGUCCUCAAACAACAGAGAAGAAAAUAUUUGAACCGGUGGUGCAGCCGCAGCCACGUCCGAAGGAAAAGUCAUUUGAUGACACUAAAGUGUCCUAUGAGGGACGUGAUGUCCUCAACCUGAUGGCUAACCUCACGGAUCCGCGAUGGAGCUACCGUGCCACAGUGCUGCCGCCGAACAACCCUGCACUGUUCUUUGCCAACCGCUCCCAGUACCAUCGGCUGGGACCAUAUGGGACUCGCACACAGUACGUAAAGGAUACUUGCCGCACAUGCGGAUUCUCAUGGGUUGUUGCUGCCACAGAUUGAUGUGACAAUGUGUCAGCAUAAACUCUGAACAAAUUAACAUUGAAAAGGUACGACUGGGACACAUCAGGGUGCAUAUCAACACCUAAUCCAAUCCAACUAUCACAAUAAGGUGCUUGCAUCAUAAGUUAACAAGCAAGCUGAUGACUUAAACAGUAACUUUGUAAUCUUCACAAAAAGUAUUAAGGUACAAAUAUUAUUAAUUCUCCACUCAAUAGUUAAUCCUAUUUUAUUUUAACAUAGAUUAUUACUUAAAAUAAAAAAUUAUUUACAAAUAAAAGAGUAGGUACUUUGGCCAAGGCAGAUUCCACAUAAAGUAUGUUUCCCUGUUGUGGCCCAGUUCUACAGAUGACUGUGGAAUAUUUAUGUGGCUAUCGUCUCGCGCAUUCGUAGAGUUACAUUUUAACGUGACUUAAUACUGUGAUCUUAAUUUAAUCAAGGCAAUUUUUGACAAAUUCUGUGAAUGUCAUGCGUGACGAUAUUUAAUUUCGUUUUUGUUUUAAUUUAUUUUGUGUGAUAAAUUUAGGCUUAAUUAUUACAUAAUUUGCAAUGCCAUAAAAUUGCAGACUUAUUCCAAAUCAGCAUUUCUAGGUCCUAAUCGAAAAAGAAACGACGAUUCGAACGAAAAGCAUUCUAAAAUUGACUGAGUCGACAAUUACUUAUUUAGUGAAACUAAAGACCAUUACAAGUAAAAUAUUAUGCUACACUUAGUUCCUCUUAGACUUGAUAAUGUUUGUUAUCCAAAGAAUCUUUGUAUAAUGUGCAUAUUUAACUUUAAUGUUAGUUUACACAAUAUAUCAUAAUGUAGUACCUGUAAAAUGCAAGUGAUUGAUCAUUUUGGAGCUUGCAUUUUAUGUUACAGUUUAAAGCAAUAUUUAAAUUAUGGACAAUUACUUAGAAAUAAUGAACUAGUUCUUCCCACCAUUACAUUACAUCGUAACAGUAACUAUUUAAAUAUUGUUUUAUGAUAUUCUUUAGUCUGUAGAAAUAAUAAGUUAGAUAUAUUCCACAGUCAUUUAUCAGUAGGAUCGUCAUUGUUUGAACCAAAAGGCUGCUUCUCGGAUGUUAUUUAAAUUUACGAUUUGACGAGACAGGCACGAAUUUAAAGCCAAGCUGUAGGAUAAUUUUAAGGUAUAAAUAUGAUUGUUGGAUGUACCGUCCGAGCAUUACAUAAUAAUAGUGAUGACAUAUAAUCUAGAGGAUACAAUCUUGACACAUUGCCCAAAAAUUGAACUUCUAUAGAUCGAACGCGAAGGCAAGAACAACUCAUUUAAUUAUACGACGAGCCCAUAUGGAACAUAGUCAACGUGGGUUAUCAGUGCAUAUCAUCACAAAUUAAUGCAGUGAUUAGAUAUUGUAAGGUAUUUGUAGUUGUUACAGACCGUUUUAAAACGUUUGAGUCAUUGAUAUGCCCAGAUGCUGGGUUUCUAGUGAAAUUAUAGUAAGUGUCGUUAACAGACUGGCAAUAUCUCUAUCUAUGUGCAUAUAUAAAAUGUAAUAUUCGUGGUCUCUUAAUUUAGUCAAGAUAUUUAAUAGUAUGAGUCUCUUGGAUAUGUGUAAGUAAUGUAUAACAUACUACUAACUAUAACAAUUGAUACUGUCCUUUUGUGCAACUUUAGUUCUGCUACGUUGUGAUCAGCUUUAAAUUGGAACUGGAGUAUUUGUACACAAUAAUGUUGACAUAUUUCCCACAAAGUUAUUUUUAUAAAAUAAUGUUGAUAUGAGACAAUACAGUAUGUAGUUUUCAAAAUUUCCUUUAUAUUGAUACGGAAUUCGCUUAAGGUUUGGCAAAUUUUGGAAGGGACCAACAUCCACGUUUGAUUUGUUGCAAUAUUGUUUGUCAAUAGCUUGUGUCACCUCCAACCGGUGCGUUUAUCGUGAUCUAAAUUUACAUUGCAUUUUAUCAACCGCUUUAUCUUUAGUCAUCGCCACAACUUUUCUGUUUGUCUGUUAUCAAUUUUCUGGGCUAUGAACACAAAACGUAAUCAAUUAGGUAAAUAUUUACAGAAUUAUUAUUUAUGUAUUUAUGAUUCAGUGGGUUAUACUUAUGACUGAACAUAUAGCAUGGAUCUCAGAAUGCAGCUAUUUAUGAUUCUAUGUUGCCUGUGACGGAGACACCCCACAAGGUCGAACAAUAUACUGAGAGGUGUCUUCAAAUGCCUACAAGUGUGCUAUAUCCUCAGUCACACAUACUCACAAAAUGGUUGUUAUUGGUUAUUUAAAAUCAAAUGUUGCAUUCAGAUUAUUUUUAGUUUACUAAGAUUUAAUAUUAUGACAAAGCUGCAAUCGAAUGUAGUUCAAAGAAAGUAUUCGGAGCGAUACGCACAGUUUUAUAGACUACGAGUAGCUCUUGUUGUGAACGUCUCCUAAAAUAUAGUGAACCCGCUGGCCCUGCUCGCGCGGCCGCGUGGGAGCCCGAGCCACUCACAGGCCGAGGUGCGAUGCAAUACUUGCAUUCCAGUUUUGUGUUAAGUUAGCAGCCGAGGGUAGUAGUUGUUAAUGUUUAUUUAAUCCACAUUGCCAAAUAUUUUGGUUGUUGUGCUAUUUAUUUAACAAAAUUUUCUAAAAUAUCAAUUUAGUACCUUCCAUUGAUAAGUGUCUUCAAGUGAUUUUACAAUGUUUAAAUCAUUUCAAUUUUAUGCAUUUUAUUUUGUUUAGUCAAAUCAUAUACACGAUAUUAUACAUAAUAUUAUAUGUUGUAUUUUAUCUAUUGUUCAUUCAUAUUUAUGAUAUAUUUUUUUUCUCAUGAACUGUAGUCAAAUGACAGUAUUUUUAUAAAGAAAAUUGUAUAGGAAUGAGGGUUUUUUGCCUAGACGAGGCGUCCCUACCGCCGCCGCCCUGGCCGCGGCGGCCCGGCCGCGCGUCCUGAGUGUAUUAUGUAUAUCUGAUAAGCAUUAUGUAGGUUUAGCGAAAUAGAUUAACUCGGAGACGAACUCCAGUACCAAAACUUAUUGGUUCAAUGUUGUUCUCGUAUUAUCGUGAUAUAGUGCGCCGCAUGCGGCGCAGAGCUCAAUAUUUUUAGUAACCCUUAAGAAAAUUACCUCUUUUGAAAAGAAUAUAAUAUAUAUGAUAUAGUAUAUCCAAUCGAUAAUCACAUAAUUAUGUAUUUCCCUGUUUAUUUUGAUGUGAUAUCAUAAAUGACUGAUCUGAAUUUAGUUUUUAAGUUGGUUAUUGAUAUGCAGUGCUAUUUCGAGAGUGUAAUUAAGAUUUAAUAUGAAGUGCCAAUGCUCGUAAUUUAAUCUUUAUGACUGUUCCUUUAUCGUAGCUACAUAAUGUGAGAGCGGCCCCACUCGGCGCCCGCUCACCUCCUACUACUACUGUUUACUUCAGUAUAAGCAAUCUUCCUCCUAACACUUAAGUUUAAAUUGUUACUUUAUUUAAUGAAUUCACGUAACGUGCACAAUCUCAGUAAUGCUUGCAAUAUUAUGUAUAACGAGUUAAUUCCUCAGUUUAAUCCAGCGUAAUUUUAAGAGUACAAUAUGAGAUGAUGUUAUAUCAUUCUAGUAUCAAAAUUAGCCGAAGAUGUUAAUAUUAUUAUUAGUUAGGUAAAAUUUUAACAUAGCUUCGUAUAAUUGGGAUGUUUUAGUAUUUAGUAGUGUAUAAUAACGGCGUAGUGGCAAGCAACUGUCUCGUGAGUGACGUGAAUAAUGUUAGUGGCAAUAAUACUCGAUGUAAGCCCCCUGCCAAGAGACGUGUACAGUGCACAGGGUCGCGACAGUGUGCGCCGCUGCGGCUGCGGCCGCGGCUGCGGUGCACACGCAACUGAACGAUACACACUAGACGUUUAUUUGUUGUAAUUAUAAUAAUAGCCUUUUUGCUGUUCCGGCUUCCUCCGUGAACUUCCAGUCCAGGCUGUUCUUUUGAAAUAAUUUUGAGGUCGAUUUAUUUUUACCUAAGUGUUCUUAUUAAAUGUUACCAAAAUGUUUUUAAUAAAAUAUUUUUAUAUGUAGAAA